GGGCUCGGCGCGGACCCGCCCGGGCGCACUCCUCCCAGUGGCUCUCGGCGUCCCGGCGUCCCGCCGCCCUGCCCGGAGCCGGCCGCGGUCCCCUCUACCCCUGAGGGCACUCCCGGCACCCAGCACAGAGGCUCGCCCGGGGAGGUCGCGACGGGAGGCUGGCCCGCGGUGGCCCGCGGCUCGCCUACCCGCAGGUGUUCCUUUGAUACAGUGGAUGGUGACUCUGCUGUUCUGCCUGGGAGUGGUUCAAAAUGCUGACCACACUCCUGCUCCUGUUCCUGACCCAAGGAAGCCCCCAUGCAGAGCACCCCUGUCCUCUCUGAAUGGGACCAGCAGCUGGAUACUGAGUACCAAUAGCGUCUGCCCUAUACCGAAUCCGAGGAAGGCCCUGAAGGUCCAGUAACUUGCCUUAGGGACACAGGUAAGACGGGACAGGGUCCAAAUGCACACUCAGUCCCACCUGUUUCCAAAGUCCCGGGGCCCAAUUAUGGUGCUAUCCAGCCACCUACCAGUCCAUACUGUAUUCCAGGGAACAGGCCUUGGGACUGCAGAGUUGGGGCCCCUCAAGGCCACCUGCUCAGGGCUGUCCCUCAACAGGUGAGGAAUCUGAAUAAGGGAGAAGCACAUAGGCUCAGCCACGUCCACCCGGGGAAGUUGGUGGCAGAGCCAGAGCAGAACCUGGGUGCCCUCUCCACCUUGGCUCUGAUAGAUCGUGAACCUCACAGGUAUGAUGAGGAUUCAGAGUUAGAGCAUACAAAGUACAUAGGACAGCACGAGGCCUGGACGUCCACAUCCUGCAGCCCCUGCCACCAAACUGUUCACCUGGGGAUCCUGCCUGACGCAAGCAACCUGCAUGUGGUAGAAACCCUCAGCUUGGCAGAACUGCAGACCACAGCAGCCCCAGUGUCCAUGUUAUAGCCAGUGUCCCAGUAGAGAUUCUUUCACCGUAGAUGUAAGAGUCCAGACACUUCUGAAUUCGAAAACCAUGGUGAUUUAUGUGGUAUGGCCACGAUUGAUAAAAUAUUCAAAGUUCUAUCUAUCUCCCCCAACUCCAGCAAGAACUUUGGCAGAACUUCUGUGCCACAGGCAGUACUAAGGAACUUGCCAAUUUUGCAUCCUCAAAAUAAAACAGGUUCCAAGAUAGGUGGCAGAAAGUGGAAAAUGCAAUAUUUCUUGAUUGGGUAACUAAGAACCAUGCAGCAGGCAGGAACCAUUUGAGGCCAGAGAAAUGUUCAUUUAAAGGUGUUUACUGACACCUGGAGAUAGAGGUUAAACUGCAAAUGCUACUUUUAUGUUUGUUUGUGUUACAUAAUUUCAUAAUGGUGGUACAGUCCAGGGCAGCUACCAAAAUGAAAAUUCCAAAGUCAUAAUUUUACUGCUGCGUUUCUCCAGCAGAGACUUUCUAUACCUCCCAGGUGAAUCUUAGGAAGAGCCCUGGAGGGCAGCUGCCAGCCGAAGGGCAGGGCGGGGCGCUGUUUUCACCAUGACCACCUGAUCUCUUCUCGGCUCUGCUUGGUGUGCACGACUGCUCCACUCGUCCGCGUUAACUCUCAUGAUGUGUUUGGGAUGCGCUCCCCCUCUUUGUAGGACUGAGUCAGGGAGAUGUUCUCCCUCCUCGGAGGAUUCCAUUCUGAGCCCAGUCGCCUUAGUAGAUGCGGGAGCUACUCCACGUGGCCUUUGAGGUCUGGGUACCCUGGGCAAAUUGAGAGGGAGGGGGUCUUGGCAGAGUAACCACUCAGAACUCAAGGUAAGAACCGUCCAUCUCUGGUUUUUGUGUUUGGCAGUAGAGGCAUGGGAACCCCUGCAUUCCUCGCAUAUGAGUAUCAGGACUUGAGGAAAAGUCUGUACUCAGAACUUGGUUGCCAGUGGGGAGGGGGGAGGGGGAGGUAGAGGUAGGGGAUUAAGAGGUACAAACUGUUGGGUAUAAAAUGAGCUACAAGAGGCGUUCCCUUCGUGGCUCAGCAGUUAAUGAACAUGACUAGGAUCCAUGAGGAUGUGGGUUUGAUCCCUGGCCUCGCUCAGUGGGUUAAGGAUCUGGCUUAGGUGUAGAUCACAGAUGCAGCUCCAAUCCCAUGCUGCUGUGGCUGUGGUGUCAGCUGGCAGCUCUAGCUCCGAUUCUACCCCUAGCCUGGGAACUUCCAUAUGCCGUGGAUGUGGCCCUAAAAAGACAAAAAUAAGCUAGAAGGAUAUAUUGUACAAUAUGGGGAAUAUGGCACAUAUUUUAUAUAUAUUUCAAAAUUGCAAAUCACUAUAUUGCACACCUCUAGGAGUUCCCACUGUGGUGCAAUGGGAUCGGUGGUGUCCCGGAGCACCAGGACACAGGUUUGAUCCCCAGCCCAGCACAGUGGGUUAAGGAUCCAGCACUGCCGCAACUGUGGCACAGAUUCAAUCCCUGGCCUGGGAACUCCAUACAUGGGGUGGCCAAAAAAGAAAACAAAAUAAAAACCUAUACUUAUAAAAAGGAAAAGAAAAAUUAAGUAAAAAAUUGUUUAAAAAUUUUUUUUAAAACUUAUAUAUUAGGUUACUGUUCAACCUCCUAGGGUGGGGAAAACGCAAGCCAUGAGGGGUCGUAUUUCCCUCAGAGGGUUGUUGAAGGCAUAGACCCCUUUCCCAGACAAGCAUCAUUGCACAGAUGAGUGCAGGGCUCCUGAGAGCCACUGAUACCCACCCCUGACCCCAGGGCAAUAGGAAAGCUGGCAAAGGACACAACAACAACAAAAAAA
rnacentral:lncRNA from 1 species